rnacentral:rRNA from 1 species
GUGAGUAACCUGCCCCGAACUCUGGGAUAAGCGCUGGAAACGGCGUCUAAUACUGGAUAUGUCCUAUCACCGCAUGGUGUGUAGGUGGAAAGAAUUUUGGUUCGGGAUGGACUCGCGGCCUAUCAGCUAGAUGGUGAGGUAAUGGCUCACCAUGGCGACGACGGGUAGCCGGCCUGAGAGGGUGACCGGCCACACUGGGACUGAGACACGGCCCAGACUCCUACGGGAGGCAGCAGUGGGGAAUAUUGCACAAUGGGCGCAAGCCUGAUGCAGCAACGCCGCGUGAGGGAUGACGGCCUUCGGGUUGUAAACCUCUUUUAGUAGGGAAGAAGCGAAAGUGACGGUACCUGCAGAAAAAGCACCGGCUAACUACGUGCCAGCAGCCGCGGUAAUACGUAGGGUGCAAGCGUUGUCCGGAAUUAUUGGGCGUAAAGAGCUCGUAGGCGGCUUGUCGCGUCUGCUGUGAAAACCAGAGGCUCAACCUCUGGCCUGCAGUGGGUACGGGCAAGCUAGAG